AAAUCCACCCAACAGAAAAAAAAAACGUACAGAAGAAAAAUAAAACUAACCCUAGUAGAUGUUUACAGCUACAGUGCAUGAAGCUCAUGCAGUAAUUCAUAAUCUGCUUGCACAGAAAUUUGUGGCAAAAACACUCAGUAGGACAAGCAUUCAAACUAAUGGUGUUUAUCUGUCAGACCUGUUUCUCUAUCUGGCUAUAAAAAGAACUUGAAUCGAAGCCAAGAGGAAAGAGGCCCUAGACUACCAUGAGGAAACAACUGGUGUGAUGACCCUGACACAUGUUGAAGUGCUUGUUUGCCACUAGAAACCUGCUCUGCUCAAAGACGCAAAUCAGUACCAGCUCUUGAGAUUUAUCAGCCAGACAUAUACGCUGCCAACAAGGGUGAGCUAGGCUGUGCUACUUGUGCUAUCGGCCGAGCUUGAGAGCUGCCUCUGAUACGGACAUCAAUAAUUCUGACCGGCAGACCCUACUGCAGUCACAAAGUAAAAGGUCUCACUAGCAGUUGGAAGUGCGCAGCAGUGAACAUUCUUCAGGACUUAACAGCCAUGCAUUGCAGCUCAUGAAGUCAAUUCACAUGUGAUGUCAACAAAAUCGAUGGUUCCAGGAGUGCUACAGUAACUUGUUACGUCUCAUGGAAAGCUUACGUGAUCAAGAAUGUGGUGGCCUGUACUCAAGGAGGAGAGGUAGUAUUUAUGUGUGAAUAUACUCAUAUGUGAAUAAAGUCUUUAUUUC
rnacentral:lncRNA from 1 species